GCAAACUUGGUCAUUUAGAGGAAGUAAAAGUCGUAACAAGGUUUCCGUAGGUGAACCUGCGGAAGGAUCAUCACUGAUUCGGGGGUGCGGGAUUGGGAAACCAUCCUGUGCUCCCAACCAAUCUUGUGUGAACCGUAACGAGCACUACGUGUGGGAAAGGUUGGCGGCCGGGGAGACCCACCGCCGCCACCCUCACACGAGCAUUAUCUCCUUACAAACUUGUCUAACAUUACACUCACUAAACAUACACAACUUUUAACAAUGGAUCUCUUGGCUCUCGCAUCGAUGAAGAACGCAGC
rnacentral:misc_RNA from 1 species